rnacentral:rRNA from 1 species
GCCUUGACUUUGGGAUAACUUCAGGAAACUGGGGCUAAUACCGGAUAGGAGCUCCUGCUGCAUGGUGGGGGUUGGAAAGUUUCGGCGGUUGGGGAUGGACUCGCGGCUUAUCAGCUUGUUGGUGGGGUAGUGGCUUACCAAGGCUUUGACGGGUAGCCGGCCUGAGAGGGUGACCAGCCACAUUGGGACUGAGAUACGGCCCAG